GGGACUUUAGCUCACCUGGGAGAGCGUACGACUGAAGAUCGUAUAAUAAAAAUUCAAGUCCGCGAAGUCCCA
rfam:Tritrichomonas foetus strain K scaffold_495, whole genome shotgun sequence.